rnacentral:rRNA from 1 species
CAAAAACAUCGCCUCUUGAGAUGAAAAUAUAAGAGGUUGUACCUGCCCUAUGGCUUCAUAAGGUGAAGUUAAAUGGUUGCAGCUAAAUGCUGUACUAAGGUAGCGUAAUAAGUUGCCUCUUAAUUGGGGGCUAGAAUGAAGGGUUUGACGUAAAAAAGUUUGUCUCCAAGGUAAAAGUGUGAAGUUUUCUUUUCAGUGAAAAGUCUGAUAUAAUGGUAAAAGACGAGAAGACCCUGUCGAGCUUGAUAAAACAUACAGAGAAUACUGUAUUAAUAAGGUUAGCUGGGGCAGUUCGGAACAAUAAAAAAGUUUCGUUUAUAUUAUAGAGAUCCGACUAAUGUCGAAUGAAGAAAAAGCUACCGCAGGGAUAACAGCGCUAUUUCUCCUGAGAGGACUAAUUGAAGGGGAAGAUUGCGACCUCGAUGUUGGAUUAAGGUUACUUUCUGGUGCAGCCGUUAGAGUAGUAAGACUGUUCGUCUUUUAAUACCUU